rnacentral:rRNA from 1 species
AGUGAACGCUGGCGGUAGGCCUAACACAUGCAAGUCGAACGGCGGCACAGUAAGAGCUUGCUCUUACGGGUGGCGAGUGGCGGACGGGUGAGGAAUACAUCGGAAUCUACUUUUUCGUGGGGGAUAACGUAGGGAAACUUACGCUAAUACCGCAUACGACCUACGGGUGAAAGCAGGGGAUCUUCGGACCCUGCGCGAUUGAAUGAGCCGAUGUCGGAUUAGCUAGUUGGCGGGGUAAAGGCCCACCAAGGCGACGAUCCGUAGCUGGUCUGAGAGGAUGAUCAGCCACACUGGAACUGAGACACGGUCCAGACUCCUACGGGAGGCAGCAGUGGGGAAUAUUGGACAAUGGGCGCAAGCCUGAUCCAGCCAUACCGCGUGGGUGAAGAAGGCCUUCGGGUUGUAAAGCCCUUUUGUUGGGAAAGAAAAGCAGCAGGUUAAUACCCCGCUGUUCUGACGGUACCCAAAGAAUAAGCACCGGCUAACUUCGUG